rnacentral:lncRNA from 1 species
UAUAUUUCAUGAUUAGAUCUAUCCUACAUUUGAACUUUUAAAUCAGAAACCGUAGAGUUUAUAUCUUGAAUGUACUAUUGUCAAGGGGGAUUCCAGAUCCCUACACCAUCUUAAUCUAUCCAAACUUCGAUUCUCUGUUUACUGAUUUAUUUUCUAUUUGCAAAACAUCAUCUUAAUCCACAAAUUUAUUGAAUUAAUUAAUCUAAAAUUAUAUUAAAUAAUCUCACAUAUAUUUCGUUCCCUGAGGAUUCGACCUCGGACUUCCGAGAAUUUACUACUUAUGCGAUUCUCCUGCACUUGGAAGAUUAGUUUCGCUAAAGCAUUUUUGCGAACGCGUCACCUAGGAGAGCAAAAGACAAACAAUCGUAAAUUAUUUUAAGGAUAGAAGCCUGUCCGGGGCUUUUGUUAACUCAGGAGCAUAGGCGAGUUCGGGGACAAGCAACCUCCUGGAAGCAGGAAUCCGCUCAAGGGCCGAGGCCAACUCGAGACUUAGAAAUUCGUCCGAGAGCCGAAGCCACCUCGGAAAUAAGGGCCGAAGCCACCUCGAGACUUAGAAAUUCACCCGAGAAGCCGAAGCCACCUCGGGAAUAAGAAGUUCGGGGAUAAACAUCUAUCC